CAACCUGCCAUCCAGUGGAGGAUAGCCUUUCGAAAGAAAGGAUAAUACUCCAUGACCUCCUCAGAGGACAUCUGACGAGGAGCAAAGAUUAAUCGCUGGGUGAUGGGGAUGCGUCUGAUUAGGCAGUUGGCGGGGUAAAGGCCCACCAAACCGACGAUCAGUAGGGGUUCUGAGAGGAAGGUCCCCCACAUUGGAACUGAGACACGGUCCAAACUCCUACGGGAGGCAGCAGUGAGGAAUAUUGGUCAAUGGACGUAAGUCUGAACCAGCCAAGUAGCGUGCAGGAAGACGGCCCUAUGGGUUGUAAACUGCUUUUAUGCGGGGGUAAAGUGAGUGACGUGUCAUUCAUUGCAAGUACCGCAAGAAUAAGGACCGGCUAAUUCCGUGCCAGCAGCCGCGGUAAUACGGAAGGUCCUGGUGUUAUCCGGAUUUAUUGGGUUUAAAGGGAGCGUAGGCCGUCAGGCAAGCGUGUUGUGAAAUGUCGUGGCUCAACCAUGGACUUGCAGCGCGAACUGCCCGACUUGAGUGCGCGGAAAGCAGGCGGAAUUUGUGGUGUAGCGGUGAAAUGCUUAGAUAUCACGAAGAACUCCGAUUG
rnacentral:rRNA from 1 species